AGAGUGAACGCUGGCGGUAGGCCUAACACAUGCAAGUCGAACGGCAGCACAGUAGGAGCUUGCUCUUACGGGUGGCGAGUGGCGGACGGGUGAGGAAUACAUCGGAAUCUACCUUUUGGUGGGGGAUAACGUAGGGAAACUUACGCUAAUACCGCAUACGCCCGUUCGGGGGAAAGCCGGGGACCAGCAAUGGCCUGGCGCUGAUAGAUGAGCCGAUGUCGGAUUAGCUA
rnacentral:rRNA from 1 species